rnacentral:sRNA from 1 species
GACAAGAAAUUCUGAGUAUCAGUUCCCAGGAAGCUGCCUCAAGUUGUUUUUUGAAAAUAUUGAUAACAGAUUUUAUAUUAAAAGCAAUCAUUGUCACUCCUUUCGGAGGAGUGGUGGCCAGUGCCAGUGCCAGUGCCAGUGGUGGACAUGUGUGUGGAUUCUGCUUCUCGUCCUCAGGUCUGAGCUCUUUCUACUCGGAGCUGAUGAAAGGACUGGGUGCAGGGGGGCGCCUCUGGGAGCUCCUGGAGAGAGAGCCCAAGCUGCCUUUUAACGAGGGGGUCAUCUUAAAUGAGAAAAGCUUCCAGGGUGCUUUGGAGUUUAAGAACGUGCAUUUUGCCUAUCCAGCUCGUCCAGAGGUGCCCAUAUUUCAGGAUUUCAGCCUUUCCAUUCCGUCAGGAUCUGUCACGGCACUGGUUGGCCCAAGUGGUUCUGGCAAAUCAACAGUGCUUUCGCUCCUGCUGAGGUUGUAUGACCCUGCUUCUGGAACUAUUAGUCUUGAUGGCCAUGACAUCCGUCAGCUAAACCCAGUGUGGCUGAGAUCCAAGAUUGGGACAGUGAGUCAGGUUUUCUUGCUCUAUUGCUGAGAACAUUGCUUAUGGUGCUGAUG